UACGUAGGGGGCAAGCGUUGUCCGGAAUCAUUGGGCGUAAAGAGCGUGUAGGCGGCUCGGUAAGUCCGCUGUAAAAGUCCAGGGCUCAACCCUGGAAAGCCGGUGGAAACUGUCGAGCUAGAGUCCGGAAGAGGCGAGUGGAAUUCCUGGUGUAGCGGUGAAAUGCGCAGAUAUCAGGAGGAACACCAAUGGCGAAGGCAGCUCGCUGGGACGGAACUGACGCUGAGACGCGAAAGCGUGGGGAGCAAACAGG
rnacentral:rRNA from 1 species